UGACGAGUGGCGAACGGGUGAGUAAUAUAUCGGAACGUGCCCAGUCGUGGGGGAUAACGUAGCGAAAGUUACGCUAAUACCGCAUACGAUCUAUGGAUGAAAGCGGGGGAUCGCAAGACCUCGCGCGAUUGGAGCGGCCGAUAUCAGAUUAGGUAGUUGGUGGGGUAAAGGCUCACCAAGCCAACGAUCUGUAGCUGGUCUGAGAGGACGACCAACCACACUGGAACUGAGACACGGUCCAGACUCCUACGGGAGGCAGCAGUGGGGAAUUUUGGACAAUGGACGCAAGUCUGAUCCAGCCAUUCCGCGUGCGGGAUGAAGGCCCUCGGGUUGUAAACUGCUUUUGUACGGAACGAAAAGGUCUCUAUUAAUACUAGGGGCUCAUGACGGUACCGUAAGAAUAAGCACCGGCUAACUACGUGCCAGCAGCCGCGGUAAUACGUAGGGUGCAAGCGUUAAUCGGAAUUACUGGGCGUAAAGCGUGCGCAGGCGGUUAUAUAAGACAGAUGUGAAAUCCCCGGGCUCAACCUGGGAACUGCAUUUGUGACUGUAUAGCUAGAGUACGGUAGAGGGGGAUGGAAUUCCGCGUGUAGCAGUGAAAUGCGUAGAUAUGCGGAGGAACACCGAUGGCGAAGGCAAUCCCCUGGACCUGUACUGACGCUCAUGCACGAAAGCGUGGGGAGCAAACAGGAUUAGAUACCCUGGUAGUCCACGCCCUAAACGAUGUCAACUGGUUGUUGGGUCUUCACUGACUCAGUAACGAAGCUAACGCGUGAAGUGACCGCC
rnacentral:rRNA from 1 species